rnacentral:rRNA from 1 species
GACGAACGCUGGCGGCGUGCUUAACACAUGCAAGUCGAACGGAAAGGCCCUGCUUUUGUGGGGUGCUCGAGUGGCGAACGGGUGAGUAACACGUGAGUAACCUGCCCUUGACUUUGGGAUAACUUCAGGAAACUGGGGCUAAUACCGGAUAGGAGCUCCUGUUGCAUGGUGGGGGUUGGAAAGUUUCGGCGGUUGGGGAUGGACUCGCGGCUUAUCAGCUUGUUGGUGGGGUAGUGGCUUACCAAGGCUUUGACGGGUAGCCGGCCUGAGAGGGUGACCAGCCACAUUGGGACUGAGAUACGGCCCAGACUCCUACGGGAGGCAGCAGUGGGGAAUAUUGCACAAUGGGCGGAAGCCUGAUGCAGCAACGCCGCGUGCGGGAUGACGGCCUUCGGGUUGUAAACCGCUUUCGCCUGUGACGAAGCGUGAGUGACGGUAAUGGGUAAAGAAGCACCGGCUAACUACGUG